CAAAGAGUUCUCUCUGCCUGCGUGAUGUUUUUGCUGGGACCAGAGCAGGAAUGCAGCACACAACAGCAUCAGCAGCAUGAAUGGUACCAUUGCCAUGAAUGUUGUGUAGGAAACCCCAGUUUGUGAAGGAUUACAAGAAUUCUGCUCCCUAAGGACAACAUGUUCUUAUCUGAUCUGCACUGAGGACCCAAGAUUCAGUCACUUCCUCAUCUUCAAACUGCUACAUAGAGAGAUAUCCAGGCAGCAAACUGAGACACAAAUGUGAACUCUUCUUAGACGUACAAAAUUACUCCUCUUUUAAGGCGAUUCUGUCUGUGAGAAUUCUGGAAAUUCACUUUUUGAACUGAUUGGUGGCUUGGCAGACUUUUGUUGCACAUCUCUGCCAAAAGCUCUCUCCAGCAGAUGGCAACAGCUGGGUUGUGACAGUGUUUGAAAAAGUAAAGACUGAGUCCUUAUGAAGGGUCCAUUGUAUUAUCCCAAUGAUGUUUUCUUGUUAGUGAGUUUUUAUUGCAUAAAUUUACUCAGGAAUUUGGGGAGGAGGUGGGUUAAAGGAUUGAUAUGGUAAACUGGGCUAGAUCCUAUACCCAUUGCAGUCAACAGAAGUUUUACCACUGACUUCAGUAGAAACAGCAUUUAACCAAUAAUAUUACUGCAUCAUGUAAAAAUAUUGUAUGAAAUGAUAGAUGGGUCAUUUUAUUGCUUGGGUUGAAUUAAAUUGUGAUAUUGAAUAUUUCUAGUUAAUAUGAAAGUGGCCUGAGCAAUGCAUAGUCAUUUUAAACAUAAAGUGGAACAAAAAUAAAGAGAAUGUAUUGGUUUUAUUAAUGCAUCUGCUCAUAUCACACAGUCUGAUUAUGCUACACACCAAGUGAUUAUUAAUACUAUAAAUCUGGAAGGAGGGGGAAGUAAUUGUAUUAAUCAGCUUACAGAAAUAUGGCAUUAGGUAUUUGAUUAAUUUUAGAUACAUCAGCAAAUCUUAUUGAUUUAAGCUUUAACAUAUUAGCUAUAUGCUCACUGUACUAUAAUAUGAUCAAAUAUUACUGUGUGAGACUACUCUGGAAUAAAGAUAUUGAAUUGGGAGGCUUGCAGUGGUUCAUUUUGACAGCACUUUUUCAUAGUGGCUAUCAUCUUGUUCUGUAGAAUCCAACCUUCAUUUAAAAAAAAAUUUCUAGACAUUUCAGUAGUCAGGAAAACCUUCAGAGUGUGAACUGAAUAUAAACCAAUGCAAUGCUGUCUGCCUGCAUCUGCACACAGCCUGAACUGGUGAACUACCCUAUUCGCCUCUUUAGGGUGCUAACUUUAGGACCUAAAAUUUAAAUGUCAACACUUAAACUAUUUCACCACUGAUAGAAGCACAUAAGAAAACAGAGGGACUAUUAUAUUAAGAAGAUCUGUAUAAUCAAC